rnacentral:rRNA from 1 species
ACGGGAGGCAGCAGUAGGGAAUAUUGCACAAUGGGGGGAAUCCUGAUGCAGCGACGCCGCGUGAGCGAUGAAGUAUUUCGGUACGUAAAGCUCUAUCAGCAGGGAAGACAAUGACGGUACCUGACUAAGAAGCCCCGGCUAACUACGUGCCAGCAGCCGCGGUAAUACGUAGGGGGCAAGCGUUAUCCGGAUUUACUGGGUGUAAAGGGAGUGUAGGUGGCCUGGCAAGUCAGAUGUGAAAGCCCGCGGCUCAACUGCGGGACUGCAUUUGAAACUGUCAGGCUGGAGUGCAGGAGGGGAAAGCGGAAUUCCUAGUGUAGCGGUGAAAUGCGUAGAUAUUAGGAAGAACACCGGCGGCGAAGGCGGCUUUCUGGACUGUAACUGACACUGAGGCUCGAAAGCGUGGGGAGCAAACAGGAUUAGAUACCCUGGUA